rnacentral:rRNA from 1 species
UAGGGAAUAUUGGACAAUGGGGGCAACCCUGAUCCAGCCAUGCCGCGUGAGUGAAGAAGGCCCUCGGGUUGUAAAGCUCUUUUGUCCGGAAAGAAAAGCAUUCGGUGAAUACCCGGAUGUUCUGACGGUACCGGAAGAAUAAGCACCGGCUAACUUCGUGCCAGCAGCCGCGGUAAUACGAAGGGUGCAAGCGUUACUCGGAAUUACUGGGCGUAAAGCGUGCGUAGGUGGUUGUUUAAGUCUGAUGUGAAAGCCCUGGGCUCAACCUGGGAAUGGCAUUGGAAACUGGGCAGCUAGAGUGCGGUAGAGGGUAGUGGAAUUCCCGGUGUAGCAGUGAAAUGCGUAGAGAUCGGGAGGAACAUCUGUGGCGAAGGCGACUGCCUGGACCAGCACUGACACUGAGGCACGGAAGCGUGGGGAGCAAACA